AUACGGAGGGUGCAAGCGUUACUCGGAAUCACUGGGCGUAAAGCGCGCGCAGGCGGCUAUUUAAGUUGGAUGUGAAAGCCUACGGCUCAACCGUAGAACUGCAUCCAAAACUAUUUAGCUAGAGGGUGUGAGAGGAAGAUGGAAUUAGUUGUGUAGGGGUAAAAUCCGUAGAGAUAACUAGGAAUACCAAAAGCGAAGGCAAUCUUCUGGAACACUACUGACGCUGAGGCGCGAAAGCGUGGGGAGCAAACAGGAUUAGAAACCCUAGUAGUCC
rnacentral:rRNA from 1 species